rnacentral:rRNA from 1 species
UACAGAGGGGGCAAGCGUUAUUCGGAAUUAUUGGGCGUAAAGGGCGCGUAGGCGGUCUGGCAAGUGGAAGGUGAAAUCCCUCGGCUUAACCGAGGAACUGCCUCCCAAACUGCUUGGCUUGAGACCGGGAGAGGUGAGUGGAAUUCCCAGUGUAGCGGUGAAAUGCGUAGAUAUUGGGAGGAACACCAGUGGCGAAGGCGGCUCACUGGACCGGUACUGACGCUGAUGCGCGAAAGCGUGGGGAGCAAACGGG